CAGCAGCCGCGGUAAUACGUAGGUGGCAAGCGUUGCCCGGAAUUAUUGGGCGUAAAGGGCUCGCAGGCGGUUUCUUAAGUCUGAUGUGAAAGCCCCCGGCUCAACCGGGGAGGGUCAUUGGAAACUGGGAAACUUGAGUGCAGAAGAGGAGAGUGGAAUUCCACGUGUAGCGGUGAAAUGCGUAGAGAUGUGGAGGAACACCAGUGGCGAAGGCGACUCUCUGGUCUGUAACUGACGCUGAGGAGCGAAAGCGUGGGGAGCGAACAGGAUUAGAUACUCGGUAGUCCCUGUCUCUUAUAAC
rnacentral:rRNA from 1 species